CAGUGCCAGCAGCCGCGGUAAUACAGAGAGUGCAAGCGUUAAUCGGAAUCACUGGGCGUAAAGCGCGCGUAGGUGGAUAUUUAAGUCGGAUGUGAAAGCCCUAGGCUUAACCUAGGAAUUGCACCCGAUACUGGGUGUCUCGAGUAUGGUAGAGGGAAGUGGAAUUUCCGGUGUAGCGGUGAAAUGCGUAGAUAUCGGAAAGAACACCAGUGGCGAAGGCGGCUUCCUGGACCAAUACUGACACUGAGGUGCGAAAGCGUGGGGAGCAAACAGGAUUAGAAACCCCAGUAGUCCCA
rnacentral:rRNA from 1 species